UACGGAGGGGGCUAGCGUUGUUCGGAAUUACUGGGCGUAAAGCGCACGUAGGCGGCUUUGCAAGUUAGAGGUGAAAGCCCGGGGCUCAACUCCGGAAUUGCCUUUAAAACUGCAUCGCUAGAAUUGUGGAGAGGUAAGUGGAAUUCCGAGUGUAGAGGUGAAAUUCGUAGAUAUUCGGAAGAACACCAGUGGCGAAGGCGACUUACUGGACACAUUUUGACGCUGAGGUGCGAAAGCGUGGGGAGCAAACAGG
rnacentral:rRNA from 1 species